AAUGGCCUGCGGUGUGCGUGAUCAAACUUUUGCACCUAACGUGUCAGUGAGGGGUCAGUCCCUGAAGGGGGUGUGCCAGCCUUCCAUCCUUUAGGAAGGACGCCUAAUCCCUUCACACCGCACCCUAUUUGUUGAGGGCCAGGUACAAAAGCCCUAUUUGACACGGCACCGCGGACCUUUU
rnacentral:other from 1 species